rnacentral:tRNA from 1 species
GCCCCCUUAGCUCAGUGGAUAGAGCACCGGCCUCCGGAGCCGGUGGCAGGCGUUCGAGUCGCCUAGGGGGUA